rnacentral:rRNA from 1 species
UACGUAUGGGGCGAGCGUUAUCCGGAUUCAUUGGGCGUAAAGCGCGCGUAGGCGGCCCGCCAAGCGGGGUGUCAAAUCCCGGGGCUCAACCCCGGGCCGCACCCCGAACUGGCGGGCUUGAGUGCGGUAGGGGAAGGCGGAAUUCCCGGUGUAGCGGUGAAAUGCGCAGAUAUCGGGAAGAACACCGGUGGCGAAGGCGGCCUUCCGGGCCGUCACUGACGCUGAGGCGCGAAAGCUAGGGGAGCGAACA